UACGUAGGGGGCUAGCGUUGUCCGGAUUUAUUGGGCGUAAAGAGCGUGUAGGCGGCCAGGUAGGUCCGUUGUGAAAACUGGAGGCUUAACCUCCAGCUGUCGAUGGAAACCAUCUGGCUAGAGUCCGGAAGAGGAGAGUGGAAUUCCUGGUGUAGCGGUGAAAUGCGCAGAUAUCAGGAAGAACACCCGUGGCGAAGGCGACUCUUUGGCCUGUAACUGACGCUGAGGCGCGAAAGCGUGGGGAGCAAACAGG
rnacentral:rRNA from 1 species